rnacentral:rRNA from 1 species
CGCACAUCAGCGUCAGUUACAGACCAGAAAGUCGCCUUCGCCACUGGUGUUCCUCCAUAUCUCUGCGCAUUUCACCGCUACACAUGGAAUUCCACUUUCCUCUUCUGCACUCAAGUUUUCCAGUUUCCAAUGACCCUCCACGGUUGAGCCGUGGGCUUUCACAUCAGGCUUAAAAAACCGCCUACGCGCGCUUUACGCCCAAUAAUUCCGGAUAACGCUUGCCACCUACGUGUUACCGCGGCUGCUGGCACGUAGUUAGCCGUGGCUUUCUGAUUAGGUACCGUCAAGACGUGCAUAGUUACUUACACAUUUGUUCUUCCCUAAUAACAGAGUUUUACGAUCCGAAGACCUUCUUCACUCACGCGGCGUUGCUCCGUCAGGCUUUCGCCCAUUGCG